CCAUUUGCGGAAAAACUCUCCAGAAGAGAUGAUCCAUGUUUGUGAAAGGCGAGUUUGUUGGAAAAAUAGCUGGAUUUGAUGGUAUCUUUGAAAAAGGCCAAACAUGAAGUGCUGGAAGAUAUUCAAAAAACACAUGGUUUAUAGAUUCCUCAUCCACACCUUUCACAACGUAUAUCCUCAUGUAUCCCUCUCGCUUGCAGAUUCUUCUUGACUGUUAUACAUCCCGUCACUAAUUGCCAUAGAAAAUAUUUUAUCUUUGGUGGGCACCAUAUUUUCCAGCAGAACGCUUUCAAUAUAUCAACUGUGGAUCCAAACAUUAAUGGUGGUUUGUCCCUGUCUGAGUAAACCCGUUCUACAUGAUAUCUUGAUUUAACCGUAUAUUUUCCAUUGUUUGUGAAAUGUCAUUCAUCCCUAUCUACCAUUCGAGUUCUGCUCAGUGGUAUUCUUUCUAUAACUUUUACAUCAUGUGGGUCCACCAAAACCCGAAGUACCUGCGAAUUCUAAGUUCACGAAGUAUAAUCAAUAAAAAAAUCCACUAUAAGAUCUGGGUAAUAAUCAUGUUGGUUUUAACACUUUUAACCUUUAAAAUUACAUUUAUAGCAUAAAAACAUUUAACCUAAGUUACUUGUUCAUCAAAUAAAAAGUUGGCAUGUACAAAAGCGAUAAGGUGUCAGUUUUCUUUCCAAAAAAUAAUUACAUAAUAAAUAAAAUAAAAUAAAAAAUAAAGAAAAAUUCAGAAAUUGCAGAAAAAUCAGAAAACUAAACAAAAAAAUCUCGAUAAAAAAACAAAAACAAAUCAGUAAAUUAAAUAAAAAUUCAGAAAAUUACUUAAAAAUUAAGAAAUAAAAUUAAAUUAAAUUAAAACACAUCAAAUUAAACAAGAAUUAUUUAAAACUAAGAAAUUCAUAAAAAAUAGAAAAUUCAAAAUUCAAAAUUCAAAAUUCAAAAUGUCUUUUAAACAAAAAUAAAAAUAUUUCUAAAAAAUUACAAGAUUUUUUUUAAACUAACAUAUCAUCGAUGACAAUAAAAGUUUUAAACAUAUCACUGUUGAUGAUGAUGGUUUCUCACAUAACUAUUAACAAUAACAGUUUUUGACAUAUCUUCAAUGAUAAUUUUGACAUCACCG
rnacentral:lncRNA from 1 species